CAAAAUAGAUGUGUUAAAAUUGGAAAAGGUAUAGAGAAAGGCAACAAAAAUUAUUAAGGGUAUGGGACAGCUUCUGUAGGAGGAUAGAUUAAAAAGACUGGGACUUUUACGG